rnacentral:lncRNA from 1 species
UCCACCUUCAAGAACUCUUAAAACUAAUAUUACUUGUAUCUCUGAACUAUUACAAAAAACUAUAUAUCAGAAAAUGGCUUCUGAGCUCUAUUUAUAGGCUUUCAGGACAGAGGAGUUCGCUAAGCGAAAUGACGUUCGCUGAGCGAACUAGUUACUUAAGCAAGGGGUUUCUUGACACGUAGCAAAAGGCUUGACUCAUCACUUUGUUCGCCGAUGCUCGCUAUCUCUCGCUAACAGACCCUUCCUCCCGGGUUGUGUUCGCCAACUCUCGCUAUCUUUCGCUGGGCGAACGUUGAUUUUGCUGUUCUGUUCGCUGAAUCUCGCUGAAGCUCGCCAUGGACCCUUUGUCCACUGGUUUAGUUCGCUGUAGCUCGCUAUGGCUUCGCUGAGCGAAGGCUUCAAAACCUGCUUUUCUAGCCAUUCCUAACAAAAAUGCCUUGGAAUCAAUUCCUCUUUGAUUUAAUGUUUAUAUUUACACCAAAGGGGGUUUUAAUCAAGAUUUCUUCAUAAAAGUAUUGGUAAGUGCUCAUAUUUAUCAAACAUUAUAACUAAAAUUGGGCACUUAUCAU